UUAACGAAGAGUUUGAUCCUGGCUCAGGACGAACGCUGGCGGCGCGCUUAACACAUGCAAGUCGAACGGAGUACUUUAGCUUGAACCCUUCGGGGGGACGGCUUUAGGACUUAGUGGCGAACGGGUGAGUAACACGUGAGGAACCUGCCUAUCAGAGGGGGACAACAGUUGGAAACGACUGCUAAUACCGCAUAAGACUACACUGUGGCAUCACAGAGUAAUCAAAGGAGAAAUCCGCUGAGAGAUGGCCUCGCGCCCGAUUAGCUAGUUGGUGAGGUAAUGGCUCACCAAGGCGACGAUCGGUAGCCGGACUGAGAGGUUGAACGGCCACAUUGGGACUGAGACACGGCCCAGACUCCUACGGGAGGCAGCAGUGGGGAAUAUUGCACAAUGGGGGAAACCCUGAUGCAGCGACGCCGCGUGAGGGAAGAAGGUAUUCGUAUUGUAAACCUCUGUCUUCGGGGACGAAAAUGACGGUACCCGAAGAGGAAGCACCGGCUAACUACGUGCCAGCAGCCGCGGUAAAACGUAGGGUGCGAGCGUUGUCCGGAAUUACUGGGUGUAAAGGGAGCGCAGGCGGAAAGGUAAGUUGGAAGUGAAAACUAUGGGCUCAACCCAUAACGUGCUUUCAAAACUAUCUUUCUUGAGUGGAGUAGAGGCAAAUGGAAUUCCCGGUGUAGCGGUGGAAUGCGUAGAUAUCGGGAGGAACACCAGUGGCGAAGGCGAUUUGCUGGGCUCUAACUGACGCUGAGGCUCGAAAGCAUGGGUAGCAAACAGGAUUAGAUACCCUGGUAGUCCAUGCCGUAAACGAUGAUUACUAGGUGUGGGGGGGUUAAACCUUCCGUGCCGGAGUUAACACAAUAAGUAAUCCACCUGGGGAGUACGGCCGCAAGGCUGAAACUCAAAGGAAUUGACGGGGGCCCGCACAAGCAGUGGAGUAUGUGGUUUAAUUCGAAGCAACGCGAAGAACCUUACCAGGUCUUGACAUCGUGCGCAUACCUAAGAGAUUAGGGAAGCCCUACGGGGCGCAUAGACAGGUGGUGCAUGGUCGUCGUCAGCUCGUGUCGUGAGAUGUUGGGUUAAGUCCCGCAACGAGCGCAACCCUUACGGAUAGUUACUACGCGAAGAGGACUCUAUCUGGACUGCCGUUGACAAAACGGAGGAAGGUGGGGACGACGUCAGAUCAUCAUGCCCUUUAUGACCUGGGCUACACACGUACUACAAUGGCAAUUAACACAGAGAAGCGAAAGAGCGAUCUGGAGCAAACCUCACAAAAAUUGUCUCAGUUCGGAUCGCAGGCUGCAACUCGCCUGCGUGAAGUUGGAAUUGCUAGUAAUCGCGGAUCAGCAUGCCGCGGUGAAUACGUUCCCGGGCCUUGUACACACCGCCCGUCACACCAUGAGAGCCGGGGGGACCCGAAGUCAGUAGCCUAACCCUUGCGGAGGGCGCUGCCGAAGGUAAAACUGGUGAUUGGGGUGAAGUCGUAACAAGGUAGCCGUAUCGGAAGGUGCGGCUGGAUCACCUCCUUU
rnacentral:rRNA from 1 species